CGCACAUUGCGCCCCCUGGCAUUCCGGGGGGCAUGCCCGUUCGAGCGUCAUAUAACAACUCAAGCCUGGCUUGGUAUCGGGCCUGUCGACUAAGGGUCGGGCCUCAAAUGCGUCGGCUAUUGAUUAGUAAAUGGGGGGCCUCGUAACAAGGCGCUGUGACUGUCAAUCAAUCCACGGUGCGAAGUUAGGCCCGUCUGCCCUAUGCAUGUAUAACCAAACACAAGUUUGACCUCGGAUCGGGUAGGAAUACCCGCUGAACUUAA
rnacentral:misc_RNA from 1 species